UCCAACUGGUCUGUAUUUAGUUUCAUUUGAAGGAGACUCCCUCAAUAACUACAAAAAGAAGCAUCUGUUAUUCCAUGUAAGAAUAAGUGCUUUACUUUGGGACUGCCUUGCUGGUGUUUGUUCAUCAGUGGGUUUGUCCAUUGACUUGAUUACAGCAGAAUCCAAAUUUAAACGCUAGAAGGUGCUGUUUUUUCCAAAGUUUUGGGAUGGUAAUCAUUGAUUUUGUGCAUGAUGUGUUUCUAUGCUUUAACAAGGACUGUCAUAAUGUUCUUCUUUCAGAAAACAUUAUAAUAGUUGAAUUUGCAUGAAAUGCUUUAAAUGUGUGAAAAGUCCACCCAUGCUCAAGAAUGCUGAGGCAUUCCAAAGAUAUUAACAGGGCAAUCAAAGAUUAAUGGCCUUUCAAAACUACCCAAGUACCAACGACCACAGCAAAGCCAAAGAGCCAUAGACAUAUUUAUAAUGGGUGCUGUUAACAAAACUGCUCAGAUCAGCUCACCUUGACUGCAGGCAGCAUGCUCCUGGUAUCUCUGGCUGGAAAUGUCCUCAUCUGAUUCCACAGACUUGUAGUCUUCGAAAUGGAAAAUAUUUUGAUUUGUCACUAUCGGUACCCUCAUAAUGGCACUGACUUGUCUGUUGUAAUAGGUAAGUGCUAUUUGUUGGGGUAGUUUCAAGUGACGAGUGCUUCAGGACAUAAUUCAUUUUCUGGGACGCCAAACUGAGUUCUAAAGGCAAUGAUCAGAUAUUCACAGUAUCCAUCCCAUUAAGAUUACUUCAAAUGGGAGCAUUGAUUGGUCCUAUGUUCAUAAGUGCUUCUCUUUGGGGUAGUACUGAGGAAAUGAAGAGCAACCAAAGCUUCACCUAUGUUCUAUUUCAUAUAGUUUUUUAUUUAUUUAAUUAGUAUUUCUUAUUUUGCAGAUAUAUGCCUCUGGUCCAAACUUGUAACUGUAAAUGCUGAAUAAAAGUGAAAAAAUUGGACACAAUUAUGCAUCCUCCUCUGUGGCCAACUUUUCAAAUCCUUGCCUCCUUGAGUGAAAAGCAGCUGAUGUCUACUCUAACUUUAGCAUCUUUCUUUUCAACCAAAGCAGAAAGUGCUAUCAAGUUGGGGUAAAUGUUUUCUGAUUGACUUCCCAGUGUCCAACUGGUCUGUAUUUAGUUUCAUUUGAAGGAGACUCCGUCGUUGACUACAAAGAGAAGCAUCUGUCAUUCCAUGUAAGAAUAAGUGCUUUACUUUGGGACUGCCUUGCUGGUGUUUGUUCAUCAGUGGGUUUGCCCAUUGCCUUGAUUACAACAGAAUCCAAAUUUAAACACUAGAAGGUGCUGUUUUUUCCAAAGUUUUGGCAUGGUAAUCAUUGAUUUUGUGCACGGUGUGUUUCUAUGCUUUAACAAGGACUGUCAUAAUGUUCUUCUUUCAGAAAACAUUAUAAUAGUUGAAUUUGCAUGAAAUGCUUUAAAUGUGUGAAAAGUCCACCCAUGCUCAAGAAUGCUGAGGCAUCCCAAAUAUAUUAACAGGGAACUCAAAGAUUAAUGGCCUUUCAAAACUACCCAAGUACCAACGACCACAGCAAAGCCAAAGAGCCAUAAACAUAUUUAUAAUGGGUGCUGUUAACAAAACUGCUCAGAUCAGCUCACCUUGACUGCAGGCAGCAUGCUCCUGGUAUCUCUGGCUGGAAAUGUCCUCAUCUGAUUCCACAGACUUGUAGUCUUCGAAAUGGAAAAUAUUUUGAUUUGUCACUAUCGGUACCCUCAUAAUGGCACUGACUUGUCUGUUGUAAUAGGUAAGUGCUAUUUGUUGGGGUAGUUUCAAGUGACGAGUGCUUCAGGACAUAAUUCAUUUUCUGGGACGUCAAACUGAGUUCUAAAGGCAAUGAUCAGAUAUUCACAGUAUCCAUCCCAUUAAGAUUACUUCAAAUGGGAGCAUUGAUUGGUCCUAUGUUCAUAAGUGCUUCUCUUUGGGGUAGUAGUACUGAGGAAAUGAAGAGCAACCAAAGCUUCACCUAUGUUCUAUUUCGUAUAGUUUUUUAUUUAUUUAAUUAGUAUUUCUUAUUUUGCAGAUAUAUGCCUCUGUUCCAAACUUGUAACUGUAAAUGCUGAAUAAAAGUGAAAAAAUUGGACACAAUUAUGCAUCCUCCUCUGUGGCCAACUUUUCAAAUCCUUGCCUACUCGAGUGAAAAGCAGCUGAUGUCUACUCUAACUUUAGCAUCUUUCUUUUCAACCAAAGCAGAAAGUGCUAUCAAGUUGGGGUAAAUGUUUGCUGACUGACUUCCCAGUGUCCAACUGGUCUGUAUUUAGUUUCAUUUGAAGGAGACUCCCUCGAUGACUACAAAGAGAAGCAUCUGUCAUUCCAUGUAAGAAUAAGUGCUUUACUUUGGGACUGCCUUGCUGGUGUUUGUUCAUCAGUGGGUUUGCCCAUUGCCUUGAUUACAACAGAAUCCAAAUUUAAACACUAGAAGGUGCUGUUUUUCCCAAAGUUUUGGCAUGGUAAUCAUUGAUUUUGUGCAUGGUGUGUUUCUAUGCUUUAACAAGGACUGUCAUUAUGUUCUUCUUUCAGAAAACAUUAUAAUAGUUGAAUUUGCAUGAAAUGCUUUAAAUGUGUGAAAAGUCCACCCAUGCUCAAGAAUGCUGAGGCAUUCCAAAGAUAUUAACAGGGAAAUCAAAGAUUAAUGGCCUUUCAAAACUACCCAAGUACCAACGACCACAGCAAAGCCAAAGAGCCAUAGACAUAUUUAUAAUGGGUGCUGUUAACAAAACUGCUCAGAUCAGCUCACCUCGACUGCAGGCAGCAUGCUCCUGGUAUCUCUGGCUGGAAAUGUCCUCAUCUGAUUCCACAGACUUGUAGUCUUCGAAAUGGAAAAUAUUUUGAUUUGUCACUAUCGGUA